rnacentral:rRNA from 1 species
UACGGGAGGCAGCAGUGGGGAAUAUUGCACAAUGGGCGCAAGCCUGAUGCAGCCAUGCCGCGUGUAUGAAGAAGGCCUUCGGGUUGUAAAGUACUUUCAGUCGUGAGGAAGGUGUUAAGGUUAAUAACCUUAGCAAUUGACGUUAGCGACAGAAGAAGCACCGGCUAACUCCGUGCCAGCAGCCGCGGUAAUACGGAGGGUGCGAGCGUUAAUCGGAAUUACUGGGCGUAAAGGGCACGCAGGCGGUUAAUUAAGUUGGAUGUGAAAUCCCCGGGCUUAACCUGGGAAUGGCAUUCAAGACUGGUUAGCUAGAGUCUUGUAGAGGGGGUAGAAUUCCAUGUGUAGCGGUGAAAUGCGUAGAGAUGUGGAGGAAUACCGGUGGCGAAGGCGGCCCCUGGACAAGACUGACGCUCAUGUGCGAAAGCGUGGGGAGCAAACGAGGGAUUAGAUACC